rnacentral:rRNA from 1 species
AGUGUAGGUGGCUCAUUAAGUCACAUGUGAAAUCCCCGGGCUUAACCUGGGAACUGCCAUUGUGACUGCAAGGCUGGAGUGCGGCAGAGGGGGAUGGAAUUCCGCGUGUAGCAGUGAAAUGCGUAGAUAUGCGGAGGAACACCGAUGGCGAAAGCGGCUCUCUGGUCUGUAACUGACGCUGAGGCUCGAAAGGCGUGGGAGCGAACA